rnacentral:rRNA from 1 species
UCGCCUACGGGAGGCAGCAGUGAGGAAUAUUGGUCAAUGGUCGGGAGACUGAACCAGCCAAGUCGCGUGAGGGAUGACGGUCCUAUGGAUUGUAAACCUCUUUUGUCGGGGAGCAAGGCCCGCCACGUGUGGCGGGAAGGAGAGUACCCGAAGAAAAAGCAUCGGCUAACUCCGUGCCAGCAGCCGCGGUAAUACGGAGGAUGCGAGCGUUAUCCGGAUUUAUUGGGUUUAAAGGGUGCGUUGGCGGAAGGUUAAG